rnacentral:rRNA from 1 species
ACGGGUGAGUAACGCGUGGGAAUCUACCCAUCUCUGCGGAAUAGCUCUGGGAAACUGGAAUUAAUACCGCAUACGCCCUACGGGGGAAAGAUUUAUCGGGGAUGGAUGAGCCCGCGUUGGAUUAGCUAGUUGGUGGGGUAAAGGCCUACCAAGGCGACGAUCCAUAGCUGGUCUGAGAGGAUGAUCAGCCACAUUGGGACUGGGACACGGCCCAAACUCCUACGGGAGGCAGCAGUGGGGAAUAUUGGACAAUGGGCGCAAGCCUGAUCCAGCCAUGCCGCGUGAGUGAUGAAGGCCUUAGGGUUGUAAAGCUCUUUCACCGAUGAAGAUAAUGACGGUAGUCGGAGAAGAAGCCCCGGCUAACUUCGUGCCAGCAGCCGCGGUAAUACGAAGGGGGCUAGCGUUGUUCGGAAUUACUGGGCGUAAAGCGCACGUAGGCGGAUAUUUAAGUCAGGGGUGAAAUCCCGCAGCUCAACUGCGGAACUGCCUUUGAUACUGGGUAUCUUGAGUAUGGAAGAGGUAAGUGGAAUUCCGAGUGUAGAGGUGAAAUUCGUAGA